UGUCAUUUACUACAUGUAUUUUCAAACUAUUUGCUCCUUCGUGACAAUACAUAUAAUUUCCAACAAUAUAAGAGGCAUUUGACUUGCUUUUUAAAUUACAACGAUUUUAUGCAUCAUGAUAUUUUAACAUCAAAAUAAUGCUAGAUAAAUAGCAUUUUUGUUGUGACUUAAACAUCACCAUACAAGAAGCUUGAAUAAUGAAUUUGACUUAUCGAGUUUUUUCAACUUCUUUUCUUGUAAGCUACUCAAGAAAUUGAUCCCUUCGUACACAUUCAUACUACCAAAUGGUGCGAGAGUUUCGUGUUGUCUUGCCUCUGCUUCCGUCAUGGUUUUGCUAACUCUUUUUAUAUUCUGCACUGCUUCUUGAGCAACACCAUUAUUCGAGGCAUCUGCCAUUAGGAUAGAGUAAGUACACAGUGCGUAAGAUGCGCAUGGAAGCAAGAGAAAACAAACCAAACAUCCAAAUAGCCCCCAAAAUGCUUAUGAUGCAGAGCAGAACGACUCAAAUACAUUUUUUUUUACAUAAAGGAACAUUAAUUCAGAAGAUACUUACUGGACAAUGCCUGGCAAUAUGUUUGAACAAAAGCCUUGCCAAUAUAGAAAAGCCCAUUACAAUUUAAUUAGCAAGAAUUUUUGCGCCUGUCUCAAGAACAACAUGAUGUAUAGUUGCCGAAAUAAGAUACCAUUUCACAUAAGCACAUGGCUCAUGUACUUGAAGAAAUAGGAAACAAUAUCUACAAACAUUGACAUAAUGUGGGCUAUGGCCUGAAAUAUCCACUUUUUCUAUGAUAAGAUUCGUGCUGGUGAAAGAGUUCCAAAUGUUAUAAUUUUACAUUGUUUAUGGGGUGUUACUCUGCCUGGGGGAGCUCAGGUAAAAGUGGAGGGAUGCAAUAGCCAAUGUAAAACUAGCCAAUUAAUAUGAAUCCUCAACAAUACUUUGUCUAGGGUGCAGAGGGGAGGUCACAUGAUUAGUCGUUAAACUAUUUUUACUUAGCCAUCAAAUAUGGUUUCCAGUACAACGUAGCUGUGUAAUAGAAACAUAAAUGACAAUUGCAGAAUGAACAAAAACAUACUGGAGACAAAUACUUUAAAAAAUUUAUAGAGCUUAGAGGGUCAUUUCAUUAAAAGGAAGAAUGGAUUUGUAAGCAUAUCAAGGAAAACAUUGCACCAAUAAUAAAAAAAGAUAACAGUACAACAUACCAUUGCUAAAAUUCUGAGGAAAUCGGAAAUGUGUAGCCUAAGAAACGACCAAACAGCAGAAGGAGAUCAAUCAGGUUCAACAAUCAAAAUUUUAUAUAUCCCCAGUAAGAUUUGUAACUAUUAAUAGUGAAAAUAUCAUACUAAAACUAUCAGACAACAAAGUAAUGAUUCCUUCAUGAGUCUGCAUUUUCUUCCACUCACUUACCCCAUCCCCCUAGUCCCUUCUAUUCCAAAUUCUUCCAUCAUUCCUUCUCGUUACUAAGUCGAAUUUCAGAAUUCAUCUUCUCCUGGCCUGGCAAGAUAGCAAAGUUUGGUUUUUUGCAGCGAUCGCUACGCCAAAAAUGAUGGGAUAAAUGAAUAAAUAGUUCAAGGACUACCUAAUAUCUCUGACCAAACAUGAAAUAAAAAAAUCCUACAAUUUAUGUUGAGAUUAUUAUACCUUAUACCUCACGCCAAAUGAAUCCUGAAAUACCUUUAGUGGCCUCAUAAUAGAAUAAAGUCUCGCCAUUAUCACACUUUGUAGUCAACUAAAAUACUUAAAACAAUCAUUGUAGUUAUAGUAAACCAGUUAUAAAAUAAAUUAAAAGAAAUAAAAGGGCAAGUCCUAUUCAAGUUGUGAUUAAUAUCAGCGAAAGUGCACAAGUCCUAUUCAAAAUUGAAAGAGAAAUGAGAAUUAAAAAGCGUACCUUUUGAGUGAACUCACAUAAUAAUUUUCUGGGGAAGAAAUAUGGCUGAUUUUAUAUGUCCAUUGAAAUGAUUUUUUUUUUAAUUUUUGAUGGGAGAGGUUUCUUGAUUCUCCUAGAAACCACACACAAAUGGCUAAAAGGGACCAAGG
rnacentral:lncRNA from 1 species